UUUUUUCCAAAAUGACUUGGUCUGUAAAGCAGUUGUUUCAUCACUCUGGUCGUUUUGUUCCUUUGGCGGAUCGAAGACAUUGCAGAAGCUUGCAAAUGCGCUCCUGUGCAUCUUCAACAGGCUUUUUGCAGCGCAGACGUCGUGAUCAGGGCAAAGGUGGUUGGAGUGGAAGUUGUGUCUGGUAACACCAAGUAUGACAUCAACAGAUCAAGAUGUUCAAAGGUCCUGACCGGUUUUCCACGCCUCUUC